CAACGGGUGCCGCUCCCCCUCCCUCAUCUCGCUCGGGAGUCAAGCGACUCCGCGAGCUCGAGAGGAGAACGCCGCCGCCGCCUGGAUCUCCUCCUCCGACCUGCUUCUUCCGCCGGUGUUCCUGCAGCCAACUCCUCCUUCGUGCAGGUGAUUCCCCUCUCCCCCAUCCCCCUCCAUCUCCUUUUCCCCAUGCUAGGGUUUCUCCUCUCCUUUCCUCUCCUCUCCUCACACCUUUUCUUGCACAUCCUGCAAAAAAUCGCGGUCGGGGGAGCCCUACGACGACUGUGAGGGACCCGACGUCGAGCUCCGGGGCCACUUCAUCGAGUGCUCAGCGGAUGUGUGAUAUAAAAACUGAAGAAAAAUCUGAUUAGUCUUUAUUUGAAUGAGCAGUGAGCAGGCAUGGACUAAAUGUUCUAGGAGUGAUUGGCUUGUUAGUCUUUAUUUUCUAGUACUAGGAUGAAAAAGCAUAUUAGCAGGUACUGUGCAUGGUACUGUGCACAUCCAGUUCAUAAUUGUUUGCACAUUAGCAGGUUGUCAUCCUUGCACUGCAUAAUCGUAGUUGCCUUGAUCUAAAUUGAUAAACUAUUAUGUCAGAUA